rnacentral:rRNA from 1 species
UACGUAGGGCGCAAGCGUUAUCCGGAAUUAUUGGGCGUAAAGAGCUCGUAGGCGGUUUGUCGCGUCUGCCGUGAAAGUCCGGGGCUCAACUCCGGAUCUGCGGUGGGUACGGGCAGACUAGAGUGAUGUAGGGGAGACUGGAAUUCCUGGUGUAGCGGUGAAAUGCGUAGAUAUCAGGAGGAACACCGGUGGCGAAGGCUGCUAUCUGGACAGAGUCUGACGCUGAGGCGCGAAAGCUAGGGGAGCAAACAGG